rnacentral:tRNA from 1 species
GGUGUGGCUCAGUGGCAGAGUGCUUGCCUAGCAUGUGUGAGGCACUGGGUUCGAUUCUCAGCACC